CCCCUUUGGGGGUACUCGAGUGGCGAACGGGUGAGUAACACGUGAGUAACCUGCCCUUGACUUCGGGAUAACUUCAGGAAACUGGGGCUAAUACCGGAUAGGAAUCCUUGCUGCAUGGUGGGGGUUGGAAAGCUUCGGCGGUUUUGGAUGGACUCGCGGCUUAUCAGCUUGUUGGUGGGGUAGUGGCUUACCAAGGCUUUGACGGGUAGCCGGCCUGAGAGGGCGACCGGCCACAUUGGGACUGAGAUACGGCCCAG
rnacentral:rRNA from 1 species